GGGGAAUGGUUCAUUCAAAUUUCUGCCCUAUCAACUUUCGAUGGUAGGAUAGUGGCCUACCAUGGUAUCCAACGGGUAACGGGGAAUUAGGGUUCUAUUCCGGAGAGGGAGCCUGAGAAACGGUACCACAUCCAAGGAAGGCAGCAGGCGCGCAAAAUUACCCAAUCCCGACACGGGAAGGUAGUGACAAUAAAUACUGAUACGGGGCUCUUUUGAGUCUUGUAAUUGGAAUGAGUACAAUUUAAAUCCCUUAACGAGGAACAAUUGGAGGGCAAGUCUGGUGCCAGCAGCCGGUAAUUCCAGCUCCAAUAGCGUAUAUCUAAAGUC
rnacentral:rRNA from 1 species